rnacentral:rRNA from 1 species
UACGGGGGGGGCAAGCGUUGUUCGGAAUUACUGGGCGUAAAGGGCUCGUAGGCGGCUCGCUAAGUCAGACAUGAAAGCCCUCGGCUUAACCGGGGAACGGCGUCUGAGACUGGCAAGCUUGAAUCCGGGAGAGGGAUGCGGAAUUCCAGGUGUAGCGGUGAAAUGCGUAGAUAUCUGGAGGAACACCGGUGGCGAAGGCGGCAUCCUGGACCGGUAUUGACGCUGAGGAGCGAAAGCCAGGGGAGCAAACGGG